UACGGGGGGGGCAAGCGUUGUUCGGAAUUACUGGGCGUAAAGGCCAGUAGGCGGCCAACUAAGUCCGACGUGAAAUCCCCAGGCUUAACCUGGGAACUGCGUCGGAUACUGGAUGGCUUGAAUUCGGGAGAGGGAUGCAGAAUUCCAGGUGUAGCGGUGAAAUGCGUAGAUAUCUGGAGGAAUACCCGUGGCGAAGGCGGCUCUCUGGUACGUGACUGACGCUGAGACGCGAAAGCGUGGGGAGCAAACAGG
rnacentral:rRNA from 1 species